GAUGAGAACGUAGCGAAAUGCGAUAAGUAAUGUGAAUUGCAGAAUUCAGUGAAUCAUCGAAUCUUUGAACGCACAUUGCGCCCAUUAGCAUUCUAGUGGGCAUGCCUGUUCGAGCGUCAUUUCAACCCUUAAGCCCUGUUGCUUAGCGUUGGGAGCCUACAGUACUGUAGCUCCCCAAAGUUAGUGGCGGAGUCGGUUUCACACUCUAGACGUAGUAAUUUUUUCUCGUCUGUAGUUGAGCCGGUCCCCUGCCGUAAAACACCCAAUUUAUCAAGGUUGACCUCGGAUCAGGUAGGAAUACCCGCUGAACUUAAGCAUAUCAAUAAGCGGAGGA
rnacentral:misc_RNA from 1 species